UGAGCAGUACCCUAAUUGGCUAAGGUGCAUGACUGGGACCCUUGAGGUUGUUGGUUCAAGCCCCAGUCUCGUCAC